UGUCGAUGAAGAGCGCAGCCAACUGUGUGAAUUAAUGUGAACUGCAUACUGCUUUGAACAUCGACAACUUGAACGCAUAUUGCGGCCACGGGUUAGCCUGUGGCCACGCCCGUCCGAGGGUCG
rnacentral:rRNA from 1 species